AAGAGGGGAGGUCGAGCGACUGCAGCUAUGACGGUUGUGACCUAAGGGAAGAUAGUGACAGUGGUGUGGUUGGGGGUAGCGGAGGCAGCGAUGGUGGUGCAGUUGUGGCAGCGUCGCCGACGGUAGAAGUGACGAGGGGGUUGGUCCGCUAGUCGGGAAGCAGCGGCCAUGGUCCUUCUCGUUCAAGCAGGGUGGAGCAUCAAGGAGGGAAGGCUGCUGGCCGGGGAGCAGCAGCGACGGUGGUCGCUGGCCGGAAUGCAGCGGCUGUGGUGG
rnacentral:lncRNA from 1 species